GACGAACGCUGGCGGCGUGCUUAACACAUGCAAGUCGAACGAUGAAGCCGGAGCUUGCUCCGGUGGAUUAGUGGCGAACGGGUGAGUAACACGUGAGCAAUCUGCCCUUGACUCUGGGAUAACUGCGGGAAACUGUAGCUAAUACCGGAUACGACCCUCGGCGGCAUCGCCAGGGGGUGGAAAGAAUUUCGGUCAAGGAUGGACUCGCGGCCUAUCAGCUAGUUGGUGAGGUAACGGCUCACCAAGGCGACGACGGGUAGCCGGCCUGAGAGGGUGACCGGCCACACUGGGACUGAGACACGGCCCAGACUCCUACGGGAGGCAGCAGUGGGGAAUAUUGCACAAUGGGCGCAAGCCUGAUGCAGCAACGCCGCGUGAGGGAUGACGGCCUUCGGGUUGUAAACCUCUUUUAGUAGGGAAGAAGCGAAAGUGACGGUACCUGCAGAAAAGCACCGGCUAACUACGUGCCAGCCGCCGCAGUAA
rnacentral:rRNA from 1 species